rnacentral:rRNA from 1 species
GCUAAACGCGAAGAACCUUACCUGGGUUUGACAUGCACAGGACGCACCUAGAGAUAGGUGUUCCCUUGUGGCCUGUGUGCAGGUGGUGCAUGGCUGUCGUCAGCUCGUGUCGUGAGAUGUUGGGUUAAGUCCCGCAACGAGCGCAACCCUUGUCCUAUGUUGCCAGCGGGUUAUGCCGGGGACUCGUAGGAGACUGCCGGGGUCAACUCGGAGGAAGGUGGGGAUGACGUCAAGUCAUCAUGCCCCUUAUGUCCAGGGCUUCACACAUGCUACAAUGGCCGGUACAAAGGGCUGCGAUGCCGUGAGGUGGAGCGAAUCCUUGUAAAGCCGGUCUCAGUUCGGAUCGGGGUCUGCAACUCGACCCCGUGAAGUCGGAGUCGCUAGUAAUCGCAGAUCAGCAACGCUGCGGUGAAUACGUUCCCGGGUCUUGUACACACCG